AUAUAUACACAAUCUCAUCCAGCCUUACAUUACUAACAUCAGGCAUCGUGGACGUGCUCUUAUCCGAGCAGAUACUCUGUGCAGCUUUACGUUUCUUUGCCAAUGGAAGCUUUCUGUACAAUAUCGGGGAUGCGGAGCAUAUUAGUAAAGCCACUGUAUGCAGAGCUGUUCGGAAAGUGUGCCUCGCUCUCAAGCACUUUCUGCGCAUUUUUACAGUGUUUCCUGGGCACAAACCCCUGAGAGCCAUCAAAGAGGAGUUUCACAGGAUUGCUGGUUUUCCAAAUGUGGUUGGAUGCAUUGAUGGCACACAUAUACCUGUCAUCGCACCAACUGAAAAUGAGGCAGACUAUGUAAACAAAAAGUCAAUCCACAGUAUUAAUGUGCAGAUUAUAUGUGAUGCUGCACAUGUCAUCACCAAUGUUGAAGCCAAGUGGUCCGGCUCUGUUCAUGACUCACGAAUAUUUCGUGAGUCUACCCUAAGUGAGUCUACCCUAAGCAACAGACUGGACAGAUUGAUGGCUUUCUGUUAGGGGAUAGAGGUUACCCAUGCCAACCUAAACUUCUAACCCCUUGCAUAAAGGCACCUGUGCACCCCACAAUCAGUCAGAAGUCUGACUACCAUCAUGGGCAUUGAAUCAAUGACUUUCUUUAUAAGAAAGAACUGCAACAUUUGAAGCACCUCAGAGGGGACUCGAACCCCCAAUCCCUGGCUUAGAAGGCCAGUGCCUUAUCCAUUAGGCCACUGAGGCUUGACAACUCCCUUUACACAUGAAAGAGUUGGUGUCAUUUAACUCCGACAGGCCACUGAGAACAAUGACUAAAUUCUGCUUCAUGGUCACUUUUAAAACCAUUGGUACUUUGUGUUUUGAAAAAGCCGCGACCAAUAAGUCACUAUCAAAUCCCAGUCCUUGACUGACAAUGUUCAACUUUGUAAGAUUUGACACUCAUUCAAUGGCCGUGCGUCAUGUGCGUGGAGCCCAAAAACGACUAUAAACAAACAUGCCUCACAAUGCGUGUUGCAACAGUUUUGAACGAUGUAGCCCAAAAUGUGCAUACACGUGCGUUGGUACAGCCGUUUCAUUGGAAGUGGUCGUGUUCCACUCCUAGGUCUUACAGAACUUGAAAGAGGGAUGUCCAGCAUGCAGUUUUAUCCAUAACUAGCCCAUAGGAGGGCUAACUCUACCAUUUGAACUAACUCUUCACAACUUGAUC